GUUUAAAAAACCAAAAAAAUGACAUAAAUGCAUUAUCCAUUAGUAUUUUAAAACUUCUGGUUACAAAAACAAUGUUGAAAUUAAUGGGCUUUGCAAAAAAGAUGUAAUUGCUUUGUUAGGCACAGCCAAACACUCUCGGCCAGUGAGAAAAACCCAGAUCUGAAAAUGGUGAGGAAGUCACCUGGCUGAGGAGAGACAACUAAAAGCAGCCAACAGGGACAGGUGACAGCAUUCACCAAUGAGCUACUGCACAGACUACAGCUCAAACAUUUCUUCAUCCAGAAUCUCCACCACAUCAUCACAGCUUCCCCUUCUCUGUGUACUUGCCUCUAUUCAUUCAAUGUCAAGAAAAAUGCUUCGAAUUCUCCUCAGCAGAGAUCUGGGCACUGCUCCUGUCUCAGGUUUUGCCAUUUGGAUGGCCCUGAGGGUGAGUUCUGGCACAGGUCUCGGUGCAUCUACAGCACCAAGGGACUGUCCUUGGUGGUGCCACUGGCAGCUCUAAAAGCAGGGCAGUCCCCCGAGUACCACCACAGAUCACAGCUAAUUCUGAUGCCAAGAGCAGGAAAAGGUCCCCUCCCUGGCUCCACCCUGCAGCAUCUCUCACUGUGUGGGACAGAAAUGCCCACAACAAGCUCAACAGUAAGACUCAUAUUCAGGUACCUUUGGGAGUCUGAAGUCCUGCACUAACCUGAAAUCCAAAAGUUCAAGGUGUACAACAUCCAAGUAAAAAGCACACAAGUAAUUUUAAAUAAUAGAUGGCUUUAAUGCAAAGUGCAUGACAGACUUCUAUCCAGACUAAAGGAAAACAAGGCAAUGCUCAUUCUACCAGCAACUGUUUCAACUACUUCAAAGGAAUCAUCUUUAUUUUAGAAGUAGGUCCAGAUCAAGUUUUAGGACAGAGCUCAGGAGCAGUUACUGUAUUGUACAACUGCACAUAGGUAUUAAACCAGUAAGCACAUUGUGGAAAAUAACCGUAGCUAGAAAUUAGGAAAACAGCAAACGGGACAGUCUUGCAGUUGAACUAUUUUUCACUCAGGACAGACCUUGUGCUUGAUGCUUUGAAAAGAGCAAGACAAGAGUCCCUGCCCAAAGGAGCACACAAUCCAAGGAAACACAGAUAAGUCAAGCACAGAACGCACCAGCUGACCAUGCGAUAGGGCCGUACAGAAGUGCAGCGCAGCGGAUGUUUUCAUUGUUAGUAAGGUACCACAGCACUUAAACAGCUCAGAGUUAACAGUGACAGUCUGCAGAAGAGAUACAUUUUGAGAGGAUUCAGAAGCAAGGGCCAGGGCUCGCCACACCUGGAUCAUGACUGCAUUUCAGGCAUGUAAGGCAGAACAGAAGGCUCAGAACUGAUACUCAGAUGCACACCAUUUAAUCUAUAGCUGCUGGAGGUUGUAUGAAGAUCUCAGGGAAUACUUGGAAGCACUCUAUGAGCUUGAAUAUGGCAAGAUUCCAGAAGAGAUGUAAGGCCAGAAAAAUAUAUGAGCUGCUUACAAGUUCCAGAGUAAGGUGUUU